GGUCGCCGCGCGCUGGAAACGCCGUCAGCCAAUGCGAAGCCCAUCCGGUUGGAGUCGCAGCCUCCUUCGGUAUUUUGCAUAGGGGAAGUGGCGGAGGGAAAAGGAAACUCUUCAUCCAGCUCGCGGCCCCAUGGGGCCCUAAAAAUGCAGCGCUUCCUCCUAGACCUUCUUCAGCGGACACGAGUGAACUCAUCUGAUGGACACCUGACACCCACAAGGUGCAACCACCCCCAUCGGCUUCGCUGAGGAUCCGUCAGUGUUACCAGCAUAUGCGUGCCAUCCUAACAAAAGAAACCCUGAGGAAUGACUGAACGCUGACGUCACAACGGAGGAGCGUCAGACUCCACGUUCGUGUGUGAAAAACAUGGCACUGAGCUAAUAUGGAGCUAGAAUCACAUUUAUGGUGCUGCAUGUAAUAAAUGGAAUGGAUACAAUAUAAAUAUGAGCAUUAAGGAGUGAUCCUCUGCUGUUCCAGCUGUGCAGAGCCGGUGCCGAUCCAUGUGCUCUAUCACUCUGGCCUCCCUGAACUACAGCCAGAUGCUCAUAAAUACAUGCCCUUAUUUCCACCCUAGCGCCGAUGCCAGUCGGACCGGGGAGCGGGUUUGUUUUGGGAGGUUCUCAGCACAUUCUACGUUCCUCAUAAUGUAAAGGACCCGCUCCGACUUCCUGAAUGCGCUGCAUGCAUUCCUGCCUGUGCUCGUCUGUCAUGGUGGCAAUCCGCUGAAAGCCGGGGCGCCUCGGGUCCAGUGUCGGCAUAACGGAAACUUGUCGGUCCCGACGCCUGGAUUAAUCAAGUGGAAGCCUCUCGUCCCCCACGUCUCUCAUCUCAUCGGCUCGCCGCGUUUGGAGAGAAUAGGCCCGAGCCCCCUGAACCCCGAUGAUGUAGCAUUGAGGAGCUAAUUGGGCCCGGCACAGACCGGGCCUGUGGCGCAGGCUGCAGCCCAGAGCGAAGGAAUGGGACAUGUCAGCUCACACGUGGUGGUGGUGAAAUGUCUGACAUGUUUGCGCUUCGUAGGGACAGACUGCCUGCAACCAAGCCUGGACUUGCUGGCCAAGAACCCCCCCCCCCUCCGUUUUCUUUAGCGUGCUCCUUCCUGAACGACUGCACCGCUUAACCUUGUGCACACAGAACCCCCCCCCCCACACACACACACACACACACACACCCAUGAGCAAGUGAGAGUAACUGAAAUACAGAAAGACAGAAUAACUGAAACAAAGACACGUGUCACAAAACAAAGAGGAUGAAUAUUAUGAAACAAUAAAAAAACUGCUGAGUCUUCAUUUUCAAUUCAUUGUUCAUUCUUUGUUUUAAAUCAUACAAAAUGUCACAUAUUUAUUUAAUUGUUUUAGUUGCGAGCGUAAUCCCUGUGACUGAUACUUUUUCUGUUACUUCACUACCUGGUGGUUCUGUCCGUUGAUUUUCCUGCAGCCUCCUUCACCUGUUGUGGCGUUGAGUCUCCUCUUUUCAGCCUGUUCCAGACGAAGCCACUCGAGUCCAAACCAGACACUAAAGUCACGCUUCUUCACCCACGGGUUUGUGCUUUUGGCCCCUUCUUGCCCCACACGUCGAGCUUCUCUUUGCUGGACGUUCAUCUUGGUCUCAUCGCUGCAAUAAACCGCUUGUGCAGCUCGUUCCUCUGCAUCUUCUGGAUAAUGAUCGCACACCUCUGCUUUGUGGAGGAUCAGGAAUGUCACCACUUGUUGUUGUUCACAGCUUUCCUGCUGUUUUUCCUCAGACGGUGCUCUGCUCUGCGUUGCUGCGUUUUCAUGUUGUUCAUAUUGUACUUCAUGCUUCUCGUGGCUUUUCCUUGAUGUAAGUUCCUGGGAAUGCUGAAGUUCAAACAUUUGUACACUAUUUAUCUUUUGACAUCAAACAUCUCCAAGGACGAUAUACGCAAAUGAAUUGGCCUGAAUCAGUAAAUUAUCUAAUAUUUAAAACUUUGUUAUUGGACUCAGCGUACAUAAAAUAUUGUGCAUUGUUGUGUUUAUUCUAUCAUUCAUAAUAGAAAUUAGCAUGAUACCAUGCAUGAGACCUCAGUCUACUGUGGACGGCAAGACAAUGGAAAAUAUAAACAGUUCGCGGUUAGAGUUACAAGCGGGAUCAUGAUUCAUGUCAGGCGCUGUUGACAUCAGUUGUAAUUAUGAUGGUGCAUGUGGUGGAACCCACAUGGACCCAUGUUAUUUGUUGGAGCCCCUUUGGAAAAUGUAAAGUGACCAAACAGCGUUGCUCAAUGCCUUUGUUGAUGUAACCAUAUUUGAACUGUGUACACCCAUAUUACGGCUAAUUAUGGGCUCGGCUUCCUAGAAGAUUCACGGUGCCAUGAGAUGUCAAGGAGAGUUUAUUCGUCAGGUGUAAUUAGAGGACAUUUGGCGCCUGGUAUGAAAUUAAAGGAAAUUAUUCUGCCCCCACUGAUCGUUAACUAAUUAUACUGAACCAGAUCAACCAGGUGUCAUUGUGGGCUUUGUAAUGUCCUGGUAACAGGUUCAAGUUAAUGCAACAGAUUCACAGAUGGAAAAACCGAAGGGGUGGAAGCUUGUUGUCAACAACUGUGUUGAUAAAUCACAAAGUGCAAUUCAUGGUACAAUUAUCUCCAAGGGAGAGGCUGCGGCCGAGGGUUUAAAGUGAGCCCAUAUGCCGCCGACCGCAACCUGCUGCCACAUCUCCUAAACAUCCACAGAGAUGGAACUCUGCACUCCCCCCCCCCCCCUGCACAAAAACAGGCAGAGAAACAAUUACAACAUCAAAUGGGAAGCGCGGGAUCAGACGGGCUGAGGCUUUGCUUGGCUGAGAGCCUCCUUCACUCAAAGACAUGCGCCGCGUGCCGGCCGCUGACGAGGGAGGAGAGGAUGGAGCCGGCGGCGGACGGAGAGCGCGGGGAACGCUGUGCUUUGUCAUCGCAGUGAUGGUGAUUGCUUUAAUGGGAGCAACACACGCUGCCUUUUCAGCUCGAUCUGCGAGCCAGACCCCUGACAUCCAAUCCGAGGAGCUGGAACGAUCGAUGAUGCUGAUGGGAGCAACGUGCUUGACUAUUAUUAAUAUUAAAUUUAAUAUUAUCUAAGUCAUUAGAGGCUGACAUGUCAUUUGCAGCUGUUCUCCUUUUAUACGUCCUGUCCUCUGCGACAGUUACUGCUUCCUGCUUCAAGUAUGUAAUAACUACAAAGGAGUCCCAGUACCUGAGCAGCAGUGUAAACACUGGACAGCUGUGUUUCUACUGUACAUACAGCAGGAAGCAGUAGCGCCUCUCAUCUGCAUGCGUUUGACGCCGAAGAACAAGUUUCAAGUGCGGGUUUCCCCAUAAAUAAACUCUCGGUGCUCAGUUAUUUCCUAAAGUAAUUUGCUGUUUUGACGACGACGGUGAAGCGGCCGGGUCGAGAUGUGGUGACUGCAAAGGUCAAAACACUGGUUCUGCUCCCUGAAACCUGCCUCGCCUCCUUGUCACUGAGUCACCGGUGGCUUUUACACACACUGGGAGUCCGAGUGAAAUCCUCUCCAGGCUUAUUGGGCAACAGGACCCGUGUCCCAUCCCUCUGUAAAUAUGCCUCGCAUUCAAAGGUGUUGGAACCGUCUGUACCUGAUUAUGAAGACACAUAAUCCAGCGUCAGCGUCCUUAUCACAACUUGGCACUGGCGUGUGGAGCGUUAAGCCGGCGUCAUCGCCGCCGACGGCGGCCUGAGAGCGUUAGCGUUAGCAUUCUGCAGCUGAAAUGUGUGAGUUGAAGCUAAAAAUGGAUGUGUCACCGUCUCCCCGUCUCACGCUGAGCUGCUCCCCUGCCCUCGCUCUCUUUACCCCCGACUUGAGUGCAGACAAGUGGCGGCAGGUCCGGGAGGACGGGUUUGAUUGGCUACUUUUAAUAGUUUUCUUUUCUCUGCGUGCACAUGACUGAAAGAGACCAUUUUCCAGCUGACUGGAAGAUAAAUUAAAAGAUGAAUGUCUUUGGAAAUUGGAGGGAGGGGGUUAUUGUUAUUCUAAGAGUGUUAUUUAUGAUGACUUCAGAUAUAUAGAUGAAGGAUGACUGUAGCAGAUGGUGUGACAUCUUUAACAGCGUAACCUUUACUGGGUGACGGCGGAAACAAAGACCAACAGUAAAACCCUGAAGCCCAAAUUCUCAUUCUUGCAGCCGUUUAUCUUUUUUUUCCCCUCCUCACCUCAGCACUCUGGGUCAUAUCGAGUUCUCAGGCAGAAGGCAGAUAGCUGUGAUAGCAAUCGACAAGAUGGUGCAAAGUGAUGACAUGUUUGCAGAAUCAGCCUGUCUAACCAGGGCUGGCUCACGGUUGAGUGAGAACACGUAGCCGGUUGCCCAUGUCAUCAUAGUUAAACAUUGUCGAGGCUCCGGCUUAGCUGCACAUUUUCGCCUUGGGAAAAUCGCAAAAUGCGGAUCUAAGCGUCCAAAGCAGGGCUGCGCUGAUAAGUAACGUCUGAUUGAGUUACAAUGGAUCUCAAAACAAGAAGAUCAGGCCGAAGCUGAGCGAAAGGAGGCUUUUUGAUUAGCUCUGAUGACUAUAAGGGCUCUGGCUUAACCUGUGAGGCCCUUUAAAUGGCUGUUUAGCAGGAUUAUAAAAACUCAACUAACUAAACUAAACUUAGACUUUACCAAACAAACUUGCUAUUUCUUCAUGUUCAUAUCUCCUCUCUGACCUUUGGAGUUUACAGCAAACAACAAAAGGUCCGUUUAUGGUGAUGUGACAGCCCACAGUCGCCACAUGACACGUCGGGUUUUGGCAAUUGGACAUGUUUUAUUAAAACGUGACGGGUGCGAUAUGUACAGUACAGUUCGUACACAGAACAACGCGGUCUCAGAGGUGCAUUAGCUUGUUCCUCCGGCGCCGAGCACCUUGGGCAAUGUGUUUUGUUUUUUUUUUUUUCCAGAACAACCCUGCCUCCGCACAUGCAGCGGCACAUGCAGGUGCUGCAGACGAUGGGCCGCUGCUGAGAGAGAGAGAGAGAGAGAGAGAGAGAGAGAGACAGAGAGAGAGAGAGAGAGAGGGCAAAGGUGUGGUGUUGGGAGGGAAUGACUUCCAGACCUUGGAGUGAACCGCUUCUCGUUUGGGGGAGUUUACAUGUAAACACCCUGAACAUGCAGGUGGAAAUAUGGGCCAGUAGGCAUAAAUACAUAAAUAGCCCUGAUGUGGAGUUCAGGGCAUUUUUGCUAGGAAUGGAAUAUUUUAGAAAGAGAGAAAAUAAAAACAUCUUAUUGUUUUAUAAGGAAACUUGUUUGUGUUUGUGGCAGAUGGAGAAAAUGACCACCUGCACAGAAUCAGGUCAUAAGAGGACUUCUGAAAUAUUUACUUUUGUGUUAUUACUCAAAUCAAACUCAUUUGGUUUCUUUGUUUUGUCUAAUGCAGUUGAAUCCCUUGUAUACAGUCAUACCUCACGUUCCUCUUCUGUGUGUCUGCUACCUGGUCCAAACACUCCACCGUCUGGCCUGAAGUGGAAGCUUCACUUAGCUUUGUGACAUUAUUGACAUUCAGAUCAUAUUGCAUCUCAUAACAAGAGUCAUAACAAAUAUUAGGAAAGGGAAAAAAUAGAAACUAAAUGUAAUUUUUGUUAAUUGAAAUUUACUUUAUGCUUUAGCACGUGUUUAGAGAUGUCUUAAUACAUUUUGAUUAUACGAGAUCAUGAUGAGAAUGUGUUUCAUAAGUGACUAGAUAGAAAUUUAAACAAGAUGAGCUCAGCUCUUAAAAGUCAGAGAGGAGGUGAGUGUCUCUCAGAUUUGAGUUUUGCCUCAGAUCUCAUCUCCGCCACUAGAUGGCAGCAUUGUCUCACAAAAGGAACUGUGUCUCUGCUACACCGCAUACAACUGACAGCGUCUUCCGUCGCACCAUCUUUUGCUUUCUAACAUUACAUAAAACUCUUCCAUAUCAUGUGUUGGUCUGGUUGAAUUAGAAGCAGAGGUGUUGAGAUAAACCCAGGCCUAGUGACCUAAUGAGAAAAGGUUAGUCUGACCCAUUGCCAGAAGGAGGCAGUCUUUGCCCACGGGUUUUAUCAUUGUCUCUUUAUGGAAUGAGAAAGGCCUAAUUAAAGACUCACAACAGAAACCUUCCUCCACGAGGCCCAACUAUAAAAGUGCUGUGUGUCAUCUACCUCCUUCUAUUCGUCCUUUUAUUUAUCUUUAAUAAACUUUCAUAAGUGUUGCACUUAAAACAUGUUUGUGUCAUUUGAAAUAUUCACUAUUUAAGGUGUUUGUUUAAUUUCUGCCACGUGAGCUCUGUGAUACAACGCGUCACCGCCACAGACGUGGUUCGCGCUGCCAAGGUCCUCUUCUGAUUAGAAUAUGAUUCAAGUGAUGAAAACUGUGACCCCCGCGUUGUCCUUGUUAAUCAUCACACCUCCUUUCACGGGGGGGACAAAAAGAUCCGGAGACCGCACGUUCGGCCGAGCCGAGGGGAACGUGAUGUCUCCAGAGUGAGUGACUGCGCCGAGAAGCUGAAAAGACACCUGUGAUUGAUGCCACGCCGCGCGAGGGGAAAAAAAAAUACU